rnacentral:tRNA from 1 species
UCCCCCUUGGCUCAGUUGGCUAGAGCGUCCGACUGUUAGAAAUAACAAGCCGAUCGGGAGGUCGAUAGUUCGAACCUAUCAGGGGGAG